rnacentral:lncRNA from 1 species
GCAUUGUGCCCAAGUUCCAGCAGGGACCCCGAAAACUAAGGUUCCUUAAAGCAAUGAUUUUCAAAGUGGGGGCCGUGAAGACAACUUUAAUAGUUGGUUUUCCAUUCAAUUUAAGGAUGAUCCAAAAAGUAACAACAUUUUUAAAAAUCAAGUGUAGAGAAAAAUAAAGUGUAUUACUAAUGUAUAUAAUAAGAAUCCGAUUAUUGACUGAUGACAAGGAGACCAUCUAUGAUAAGGGGAGCAAAGAGUACAUCAAUAUCAUCAUAAUGCGGUGGUUGGAAGUUAUUGCAGUUCAGUCCUGUAUAUCAGUCCAAAAAAUUUAUCAAGUUCGGUCCUUGAUGAUAGUGCAAAGGGCGGACAGUCUUAAGGACCAGUCCCAACGACUAAUAGUACCGGUCUUAAGGACUGACACAACACUAUUAUGAUAUCUUAUAUAUGUCCCUGAUUGUAGGACAUGAAGACGAAGGACACUGACUUCAAAUCAAGCCCUGUGGACAUGCUGCAUAUCGUCGUCUCUGGAAAGGAUCUCGGAAGAUAAUGUGAAAUUUAUUAUUUCAAUGAUUUUGUUCAUUAACGAUCUUUUUAGUUAUAAUGUACAUUAACUGUCUUGCUCACUUA